AACGAACGCUGGCGGCAUGCCUAACACAUGCAAGUCGAACGAGACCUUCGGGUCUAGUGGCGCACGGGUGCGUAACGCGUGGGAACCUGCCCCUAGGUUCGGGAUAACUCCCCGAAAGGGGUGCUAAUACCGGAUAAUGUCUUCGGACCAAAGAUUUAUCGCCUUUGGAUGGGCCCGCGUUGGAUUAGCUAGUUGGUAGGGUAAAAGCCUACCAAGGCGACGAUCCAUAGCUGGUCUGAGAGGAUGAUCAGCCACACUGGGACUGAGACACGGCCCAGACUCCUACGGGAGGCAGCAGUGGGGAAUAUUGGACAAUGGGCGAAAGCCUGAUCCAGCAAUGCCGCGUGAGUGAUGAAGGCCUUAGGGUUGUAAAGCUCUUUUACCCGGGAUGAUAAUGACAGUACCGGGAGAAUAAGCUCCGGCUAACUCCGUG
rnacentral:rRNA from 1 species